GGCCGAGCGCCCAAGCCCAGCAGCCGUGCGCCACCUCCCUCGACCAGCCGGAGCUUCUUCGUCAGCCUCGUCGCCGUCACGAGAACUAGCUGCCGCCAACAUCGCCGGAGAUGGACCCCCGACGCCCAGAUCCGCUCGCCUUCACUGCCUCGGCGCCGUCCCUGUCGCCGUCGUCUUCAUCGGUUCCUGACGAGGACGGCGCCCCUCCAGUUCAUCUCGAGCGCCAGUCUUUGCCCGAUCUGGUCCCCGUUGACCGCGAGCAUUGGCUGGGUCACAGCUGCGCAGGCCCAGCUCCCUUCGCCCGCGAGCCCAGCUCCGCGCGUCCCUGCAGGCCCAAUCUUCGGUUUCGUUCCGGAGUUGUGAGGAUUCGUUCGACUACGUCCGCUUGUCU